ACGUAGGCAGCAAGCGUUGUUCGGAAUUACUGGGCGUAAAGAGUGUGUAGGCGGUGUUCUAAGUCUGGUGUGAAAUCUCCCGGCUCAACUGGGAGGGUGCGCCGAAAACUGGAAGGCUCGAGGAUGGGAGAGGCAUGCGGAAUUCCUGGUGUAGCGGUGAAAUGCGUAGAUAUCAGGAGGAACACCUGCGGUGUAGACAGCAUGCUGGACCAUUUCUGACGCUGAGGCACGAAAGCGUGGGUAGCAAACAGGA
rnacentral:rRNA from 1 species